rnacentral:rRNA from 1 species
CGGGUGAGUAACACGUAUCCAACCUGCCGUCUACUCUUGGACAGCCUUCUGAAAGGAAGAUUAAUACAAGAUGGCAUCAUGAGUUCACAUGUUCACAUGAUUAAAGGUAUUCCGGUAGACGAUGGGGAUGCGUUCCAUUAGAUAGUAGGCGGGGUAACGGCCCACCUAGUCUUCGAUGGAUAGGGGUUCUGAGAGGAAGGUCCUCCACAUUGGAACUGAGACACGGUCCAA